AGGAGCGCCCUAGGGUAAAACUGGUAAUUGGGGCUAAGUCGUAACAAGGUAGCCGUACCGGAAGGUGCGGCUGGAACACCUCCUUU
rnacentral:rRNA from 1 species